rnacentral:tRNA from 1 species
GGGAAGGUAGCUCAGUGGUAGAGUUCUUGCCUUGCGUGCAGGAGGCCCUGGGUUUGAUUCUCAGCACCA